GGAAAAGGCUGCCCAGCAUUGAGACUGGUUUGGCCUGAGAAUCUGAGGCUCUGGCCACCCUGUCUUGGUGGAUUUCAGGGGCCAGCUCUGAGGCUGCAGGUGGUUGUGGACUCUGGCCCGGUGCCGCUAGCGUGUCCAGUACCCACCGCCGCCCUUGCUGCGUGUUGCUUCCAGGCAGUUGUGACUCCUGCCCUGGGAAGCUGAGGCAUCAGAUUCUUUGCUUUGGAAUUUCAGACCCUCCCUCUGUGUUGCCUCCUCCCACCCACAGGUCGCAUCAGCAUGUCGAGCUCUGCAGGUGCCAGCACACUGGAACACAUGCUUGGGUUGGCGGGUGGUUGGAGGAGUGAGCUGUGCUUUUUCAUCCCCACAUCCCCAGCGCCCAGCAUGGAGAAGGGAUGUGAUCAAUAUCUGUUGGAAAUGGAACAAGCCUCAGGAUAAACAGCCCCAUCCUGGGAUGCGCCAUACAGUGGUCAUUGUUCUAAAGGCUCGAUCGGGGAAACUGAGUUUCAAAAGGCCUAAGUCGCGGACCCAGCUGGUCUCUAUCAGGAGCGGCCAGGCGGCUGGGGCAGGUGCUGCUGCUCCCUCCAUCCUCAUUGCAGGGAGUAGGUCAGAGGCGUUGGACCAACCUCGUUGGGGACUGGGGCUCAUAGCUUGUCUUGCUGGCAAGUGGGCUUGAGAGGAGGGAUGUGAAGGGGACAGUGCAGCAUUUUGCUCAGAGCUGGGUGCCCUGCCCAGCCCCACCAGGCCCUGGAGUCACUAUUGGCAGACAGAAGGGACCAUGGCUAUUUAAACUCUAUGCUCAUCCCGGCCCAAACGAUGCUGCACUGAUGCUCAGGUAAAGGGUUGGCUAAGAAGGGGGACAGGCCACCCACAGUGCCACAUGGUGUGGCUUGGACGCACCUGUCAU
rnacentral:lncRNA from 1 species